rnacentral:ncRNA from 2 species
CAGUUCGGCCAAUCCGAUGGGCGUUCGGCGCGAUGCGUCGAACAGGAAGCCGGUGAGAAUCCGGCGCGGGACCGCCGCUGUAAGCGAGGAGGUCUCCGGACGAAACGCCACUGCGAGCUUUGCUCGUGGGAAGGCGUCCGGGGACUGAUCGACUCGCGAGCCAGAACACGGCCCAUCGGGCACCCAGUCGA